CGGGUUCUGCCCAUAGAAAUAAGAGAUAUCUAUUAUUUCUAUGGUUCUGCCUCCUCCACGGGCCCUGCUGCACCAUUGGAAAGUCACACACUGGCCUUCCCAUGGAAGAAACCUGGAAAAUUCCAUAAAAUUCCCUUUCACUCUGGAUACUUUUUUCACUUCAAUACAUAUUUCACCUACAAUACAUAGCUAAGAAUUUUGAGCUCAAUCAAACAACAUGUUGUUUUUGGUUUUUUUUUUGUUUUUU